CUGUCAUUCAACAGUAGUCAAUGUUGGUGAGAAGAGCUGUAGGUAAUACAGGUUAAAGUCAUGAACUGCCCAACCACGCUAGUUUUACUACUUCUUCAGCGUCUAAUUCCUUCCAGACGCCCCGGGUUUAUGCUUCCUGCACGUAGCUCCUUACAUUUCAAAAGACUCUUAACCAGGGAGAGUUUUUGGACUUGUUUUAAUAAGGGGGGAAGGUUUGGGGAUGAGGAGGAGCAACUUAUUGAGGAGAAGAGAGAGAAAAAAAGUUGAUGCCCACAAGUCUCCAGACUGCUGCUGUUUAAUCCUGAAGGUCUCCAGACUGCUGCUGUUUAAUCCUGAAGGUCUCCAGACUGCUGCUGUGUCCUGCUGUGAAGCUACGUAGGAGCUAGCUAGGAGAAUACAUAGCCUAUGUACACCCUACACAGGAUCUGUCUCUGUCUCCUCACCCCUAACAAAAUCACCUCUCCUCUGCUGUAACCCUAACUCAGGAGGCCUAUGAUGAACUCUUAUCCUCACCCCUCCUCUCAC
rnacentral:lncRNA from 1 species